GCUCCAGUAGUCUAGUGGUUAGGGCAUCCUCCUCGGAUGCGGGAGGUCGUAGGUUCGAUCCCUGGUCGAAUCA